GACCCCCACAUUUUUCGAAGUUUAUAUGUUGACGACCUGUGCAUAUGCUAUCAUGGGGAAAAACAGGAAUGUAAGUGAACGACAGAUAACAGUGAAUGGAGCAGCUGCAGUGAAUGGAGAUCAACAAUACGGCAUACGUAUUCCAGAACAGAUCUCGAUCUUCACAGCCGAGGCCCGAGAGCUGCCACUGGCACUGGAAAACAUUGAGCAGGGUCAAACGUCAUGCCUUCAAGCACUUGAAUCCGUGGAGACCGAUCUUCACAUAAUCAUUAACAUUUUGACUAAAACAUUAUCCUCUGUUGGGUGCCGGGACAUAUCGGUCUGGUGGGAAAUGGAAAGAGCAGACAUGGCUGAAAAAGAUUAUCACCAAUCAGAAUGGAAUGAGUGCGACAGCAAUAAAUUAUACGGAAUAAACCUCAGGAUCCAAAGAAAUUACUCUCAAUAUUUUAAAUUUUGACAUGACCACAUAGUGUUUACCAGAAGCCGACUGGACCGUUCAAGACCAACGCGUGAAGAUCCUCUUAUAUGUAUAUUUUACCAAACCCUUAUGACCAUCAAGCACAUUUUACUGAACUGUAAACCCUUUGAACUAUCAGACAAGGCUUUUAUUCAGACACUUGUUUAAUAGAUAUUUUAAAAAAUACUGUAAAUAUUUAUUGAUGAACCUUUUGUUUGCCCUGUGAAUAACCUGGCUGCUGACAUGGUGUUUUAAAACUAACUAACUAACCAAAUAAAUAAAUAAAUAACCGAACAAACAAACAAACAAACAAAUAAAUAAAUGCAGUCUAAAGCCUCAACAUUUAUCCAAACACAGUGUAAUAAUCGAGUGCCUUAGACCACAGCCAUGAUCACAACACACCCUGAAAAGUGACUAAUCAUGUCGUCAGGAUCAAGUCAUGAGGUACUCUGUAGAGUUGGUCAUCAAAUUUCACAAAUCAGGAAAUGAGGGACGAGGAGAUAGGAAUCCAGUCUGGUCUGUGGCACAGGUUCUGGAGCAGGAAGAAGACUUGCACAGAAGGAACAACUGUA
ensembl:lncRNA